UUCCCUCUAUUUUUUUUGUCCCUGUUCAUUUUUAGCGCCUUUUCGUUUUUAGCUAGUCUCCCACACUUUCUCUCUUUCUCUCAGACACCGAAAAUCUCCUCACUGUCUCAUCUCUAUCACUACCCACAAACCCACAGCCACAGCCACCACCACCACCACCUCCCAACCCCCAACCACAGCCACCACCACCACCCAAAAAUCGAGCCUAGUUAGGUCCAAAAACAAAUGGGUCAGGUCUAGCCCGACCCAUUUCUCUUAUCAUUUCUAACCCUAACGGUUCAUACCCCUAAUCUAGAACCUUCCCUCUUUUUGCUAUCUCAUCCGAACUCUCUUGACAGAAACCCAUGGCUUGAGCUACCUGAUCUCAUCACCUCAAAUCAACACUGCCACCACAUGAGGCGGCUUGCUCCUCAUCAAAAACCCUUACCGAGAUCUCUCUAAUCUAGGACCGAAAGACUGGUCAAAAGAGCAAAAGAGGAAGUCCUCAAGCGGCAUCCCAUUUCCCCCACCAACACAAGAGUAAAUUAACACGGUUGAAUUUGAAGGAACGAAAUUGAAAAAUCUUUGCCCCAUUUCGUGUUUUCAUUGCCAGAGAGGUGUGUAUAAAUAUUCAUAAUCAUAUCUGUAAUCUGUGUUGAUUUUUUCAAUGACAUUUGGGCUGUGGUUUUUGGGUUUUUCUUCUUGGCUAUUAAAAUUGAAU